UUGAAAUUUCGCACAUUAUAAAUAUAGAUGAAUAUUUCUUAAUGUCAAAAGCAACAGCAUUCUUCUCAGUGAAGUUCUUUUGUUUAGUCUGGAGUUGAAAGCAAGAUGGGUCGCAGAUGUGGCUUCAUCAACACAAAUGUUAUUUACUCCCAUAUUAGUCCUAGAGUGGUUUUGACUGCUACACAAUUAGUGGCCUUACAAAUCUUUACAAUUGUUUACUUUCAUCAAAGGGGAGUUGCAAUUUUGAUGCAAAAUUAGGUAAAAUGUCCAAAUAGGUUGACAAAAGCCUUGUGCUGCUUUGGGUCAAGGUGGUAUGAAGUGGCAACAGAAAGAA